UGCAUUCAAGGGCCUUUCCACUCACACUGA
rnacentral:piRNA from 1 species